AGAGUUUGAUCCUGGCUCAGAUUGAACGCUGGCGGCAUGCCUUACACAUGCAAGUCGAACGGCAGCACGGGGGCAACCCUGGUGGCGAGUGGCGAACGGGUGAGUAAUACAUCGGAACGUGUCCUGUAGUGGGGGAUAGCCCGGCGAAAGCCGGAUUAAUACCGCAUACGCUCUACGGAGGAAAGGGGGGGAUCUUAGGACCUCCCGCUACAGGGGCGGCCGAUGGCAGAUUAGCUAGUUGGUGGGGUAAAGGCCUACCAAGGCGACGAUCUGUAGCUGGUCUGAGAGGACGACCAGCCACACUGGGACUGAGACACGGCCCAGACUCCUACGGGAGGCAGCAGUGGGGAAUUUUGGACAAUGGGGGCAACCCUGAUCCAGCAAUGCCGCGUGUGUGAAGAAGGCCUUCGGGUUGUAAAGCACUUUUGUCCGGAAAGAAAACGCCGUGGUUAAUACCCGUGGCGGAUGACGGUACCGGAAGAAUA
rnacentral:rRNA from 1 species